rnacentral:rRNA from 1 species
UACGUAGGGUGCAAGCGUUAAUCGGAAUUACUGGGCGUAAAGCGUGCGCAGGCGGUUCGCUAAGACAGAUGUGAAAUCCCCCGGGCUUAACCUGGGAACUGCAUUUGUGACUGGCGGGCUAGAGUAUGGCAGAGGGGGGUAGAAUUCCGACGUGUAGCAGUGAAAUGCGUAGAGAUGUGGAGGAAUACCGAUGGCGAAGGCAGCCCCCUGGGCCAAUACUGACGCUCAUGCACGAAAGCGUGGGGAGCAAACAGG